UACGUAGGGGGCAAGCGUUGUCCGGAAUCAUUGGGCGUAAAGAGCGUGUAGGCGGCCCGGUAAGUCCGCUGUGAAAGUCCAGGGCUCAACCCUGGGAUGCCGGUGGAUACUGUCGGGCUCGAGUCCGGAAGAGGAGUGUGGAAUUCCCGGUGUAGCGGUGAAAUGCGCAGAUAUCGGGAGGAACACCUGUGGCGAAGGCGGCCCCCUGGUUGGAUACUGACGCUGAGACGCGAAAGCGUGGGGAGCAAACAGG
rnacentral:rRNA from 1 species